rnacentral:rRNA from 1 species
UGGGGAAUAUUGCACAAUGGAGGGAACUCUGAUGCAGCGACGCCGCGUGAACGAAGAAGGCUUUCGAGUCGUAAAGUUCUUUUAUAUGGGAAGAUAAUGACGGUACCAUAAGAAAAAGCCCCGGCUAACUACGUGCCAGCAGCCGCGGUAAUACGUAGGGGGCUAGCGUUGUCCGGAAUCACUUGGCGUAAAGGGUUCGCAGGCGGAAAUGCAAGUCAGGUGUAAAAGGCAGUAGCUUAACUACUGUAAGCAUUUGAAACUGCAUAUCUUGAGAAGAGUAGAGGUAAGUGGAAUUUUUAGUGUAGCGGUGAAAUGCGUAGAUAUUAAAAAGAUUACCGGUGGCGAAGGCGGCUUACUGGGCUCAUUCUGACGCUGAGGAACGAAAGCGUGGGUAGCAAACAGG